UACGGACGCAGCAGUGGGGAAUUUGGACAAUGGGAAACCCUGAUCCAGCCAUCCUGCGUGUGCAUGAAGGCCUCGGGUUGUAAAGCACUUUACAGAAAGAAACGGUACAGGACAAUACCCUGCGCAACUGACGGUACCUGCAGAAUAAGCACCGGCUAACUACGUGCCAGCAGCCGCGGUAAUACGUAGGGUAAGCGUUAAUCGGAAUUACCAUGCAAAAGCGUGCGUAUGGUUCGGAAAGAAGGAUGAAAUCCCAGAGCUUAACUUUUGGAACUGCAUUUAACUGCCGAGCUAGAGUGUGUCAGAGGGAGGUGGAAUUCCGCGUGUAGCAGUGGAAAUGCGUAGAUAUGCGGAGGAACACCGAUGGCGAAGGCAGCCUCCUGAUAACACUGACGCUCAUACGAGCGUGGGGAGCAAACAGGAUUAGAUACCCGCAGU
rnacentral:misc_RNA from 1 species